UUCGCGUUAGCGAUUGCAGUGGAAAUCCUUUUUGGGAUUGCCGCGGAGCUUGCGGAGCGGAAAUCUCCAAAAAGAUUGUAACGGAAAGCGCGGCCCGCA
rnacentral:sRNA from 1 species